rnacentral:rRNA from 1 species
GAUGAACGCUAGCGGCAGGCUUAAUACAUGCAAGUCGAGGGGUAGCAAGAUUGUAGCAAUACAAUUGUUGACGACCGGCAAACGGGUGCGGAACACGUACACAACCUUCCUACAAGUGGGGAAUAGCCCAGAGAAAUUUGGAUUAAUACCCCGUAACAUAGCGAUGUGGCAUCACAUUGCUAUUAUAGCUUCGGCGCUUGUUGAUGGGCGGGCGGCUGAUUAGAUAGUUGGCGGGGUAACGGCCCACCAAGUCUACGAUCAGUAGCUGAUGUGAGAGCAUGAUCAGCCACACGGGCACUGAGACACGGGCCCGACUCCUACGGGAGGCAGCAGUAAGGAAUAUUGGACAAUGGACGCAAGUCUGAUCCAGCCAUGCCGCGUGAAGGAUUAAGGUCCUCUGGAUUGUAAACUUCUUUUAUAAGGGACGAAAAAAGGUCUUUCUAGAUCGUCUGACGGUACCUUAUGAAUAAGCACCGGCUAACUCCGUGCCAGCAGCCGCCGUAA